CCUUCGGGAGGCUGCAGUGGGGAAUAUUGGGCAAUGGACGCAAGUCUGACCCAGCAACGCCGCGUGAAGGAAGAAGGCUUUCGGGUUGUAAACUUCUUUUUAGGGGGAAGAGCAGAAGACGGUACCCCUUGAAUAAGCCACGGCUAACUACGUGCCAGCAGCCGCGGUAAUACGUAGGUGGCAAGCGUUGUCCGGAUUUACUGGGUGUAAAGGGCUUGCAGCCGGAAAGACAAGUAAGUUGUGAAAUCCACGGGCUCAACCCGGGAACUGCAUUUGAAACUGUUUCCCUUGAGUGUCGGAGAGGUAAGCGGAAUUCCGAGGGUAGCGGUGAAAUGCGUAGAUAUUAGGAAGAACACCAGUGGCGAAGGCGGAUUACUGGACGGUAACUGACGGUGAGGCGCGAAAGCGUGGGGAGCAAACAGGAUUAGAUACCCGUGUAGUC
rnacentral:rRNA from 1 species